rnacentral:rRNA from 1 species
AACGAACGCUGGCGGCAGGCUUAACACAUGCAAGUCGAACGGGCAUAGCAAUAUGUCAGUGGCAGACGGGUGAGUAACACGUGGGAACCUUCCUAGAGGUACGGAACAACGCAGGGAAACUUGUGCUAAUACCGUAUACGCUCGAGAGAGGAAAGAUUUAUCGCCUUUAGACGGGCCCGCGUAGGAUUAGGUAGUUGGUGAGGUAACGGCUCACCAAGCCUACGAUCCUUAGCUGAUCUGAGAGGAUGAUCAGCCACACUGGGACUGAGACACGGCCCAGACUCCUACGGGAGGCAGCAGUGGGGAAUCUUGGACAAUGGGCGCAAGCCUGAUCCAGCCAUGCCGCGUGAGUGAAGAAGGCCUUCGGGUUGUAAAGCUCUUUUACCAGGGACGAUAAUGACGGUACCUGGAGAAUAAGCCCCGGCUAACUUCGUGCCAGCCGCCGCGGUAAGAC